rnacentral:rRNA from 1 species
AACGAACGCUGGCGGCAUGCCUAACACAUGCAAGUCGAACGAGACCUUCGGGUCUAGUGGCGCACGGGUGCGUAACGCGUGGGAACCUGCCCUUAGGUUCGGAAUAACUCCCCGAAAGGGGUGCUAAUACCGGAUAAUGUCUUCGGACCAAAGAUUUGUCGCCUGGGGAUGGGCCCGCGUUGGAUUAGCUAGUUGGUAGGGUAAAAGCCUACCAAGGCGACGAUCGGUAGCUGGUCUGAGAGGAUGAUCGGCCACACUGGGACUGAGAUACGGGCCAGACUACUAAGGGAGGCAGCAGUGGGGAAUAUUGCACAAUGGGCGGAAGCAUGAUGCAGCAACGCCGCGUGCGGGAUGACGGCCUUCGGGUUGUAAACCGCUUUCGCCUGUGACGAAGCGUGAGUGACGGUAAUGGGUAAAGAAGCACCGGCUAACUACGUG